rnacentral:tRNA from 1 species
GUUUGUAUAAUUUAAAAAAAAUACUAGAUUGUGAUUCUAUAAANAAGAGUUAAAGCCUCUUUACAAACC